UGGUUGCUAGGGUUUGUAUUUGUUAGGGUGUGCAUUGCUGCCUUGUUGGUAUGCAUUUUUAUAUCUGUUCUGACUGGUUGUUAUUGGGUUGUUAAGGCUUUCUGAGUGGUUGCUAGGGUGUUGCUAGUGUUUUCCGAGUGGUUGCUAGGGUAUUGCUAAGUGGUUGCUCAUAUGUUGUAAGCAUUUUUAGCUUGUUGAUACAAGUAUGUAUUUUUCAGUCUGUUCUGUCUGGUUGCUAUUGGGUUGUUGUAGUUUUUAAAGUGGUUGCUAGGGUGUUGCUGGGUUGCUCUUAAUUGUUGCUAAGGUGUUGCCGGGUGCUUAUAUUUUUAAGAAUAUUACUCUAAUCUGCAUCUAGAAGGCAUGAAGAUAUUAAGAUAUAUUAUAAACACGAACAUUAUGAUUUUCUGCAAAGCUGCUGUGAAACAGUGUGAAAAGAGCUAUAUACAGUACAUAAAUAAAUGAUUCCAUGACCUUAGACAUCAACAUCAAAAAACGUGUUUUCUCCUCCCAUUUGAAAGCAGAUUCAUUUAUGCACAAUUAGACGCUUGCAUCCGUUUUAUCAUCAACAUUUAAUGUUGUUUUUCCUCCUCUGGUUCCUGAUUAUAUGACUGAUCUCUUGCAGUAAAGCAAAGUCCUCUGGGCCUCUGGAUUAAAUUCUAGUAUUUCCAGCCAGACCGCCACACACCCUUAUUUACCCCUCGUCCCCUUCACGCGGGGCUGCAGCGGUUCACUGAGCUCCAGGGCAGAACCUGAGCGCCGGAGCGGACAAUAGACACGCCAAACUACUAACCGCACACAAAAGAGUCGGGCUGUUCGCAGGGGGCGGAUGGGGGCAGGGUCAUGGGAAUCACCGCGAGCAGCUGGAUUGCUUUACAUGUGCAGUCAGAGAAUAAUUAGCAUCUCGCUCUCUAAGAAAAUGUCCAGUGAAUUGGCUUUGAGAUUCCGAAUUAGCCACGCAUUUCUCGUCCUGCAGCGCGGAUGUUUGUUUGAUCAGAAUGCAGAUGAGCGUCCGGCGAAGGAUGCGUUCUUAAAGAAAUGAGGAAGUUAAAAAAGAGAUUUAAGGGUUAAAACUGAAUAUAUCCACGGACAGACCGGAAACUCCUUGGAAAGACGUUUGAGGUCAUUCGUUCCUGGUUCACAUACAUUUGGCCUACGACUUUCCCAGUCACCCGGAAGGAUUUAAAGAUCAUUUUAUUGAGAUUACACUCAAAAAGAGCACUGAAACAAUGAAGCGGAGCAAAACUAGGAAAGUUAUAUUAACUCAAGUUUAAGAUUUUAGUAAAGUCGCCUGGGUCAUGUAUUCUUUUACUUUGUGUAGUUUUGAUUUUAUUUUAUGAAGAUGAGGGCAUCCAUAAUUUAACUAGAUUCUACAGAUGAUGAACUUAUGCCAAAAUACUGUAGAGUUUGAUUGGAAACACAUUCUGGACUGAUAGAAGUUAUUUUUUAUUUCCAUUCUUUUUUUUCUUCAGGCCUACAGAAGCAAUUUCUUUUUUAUUAUUAUUAGAAGCAAAUAUUAUUUUUUUAAUGAAAA
ensembl:lncRNA